rnacentral:tRNA from 1 species
GAGCAUAUAGCUCAGUGGUAGAGCCCAAGCUUAGCCUGCACAAUGUCCUGGGUUCAAUCCCCAGUACCUCCA